rnacentral:rRNA from 1 species
GAUGAACGCUGGCGGCGUGCCUAAUACAUGCAAGUCGAGCGAACAGACGAGGAGCUUGCUCCUCUGACGUUAGCGGCGGACGGGUGAGUAACACGUGGAUAACCUACCUAUAAGACUGGCAUAACUUCGGGAAACCGGAGCUAAUACCGGAUAAUAUAUUGAACCGCAUGGUUCAAUAGUGAAAGACGGUUUUGCUGUCACUUAUAGAUGGAUCCGCGCCGCAUUAGCUAGUUGGUAAGGUAACGGCUUACCAAGGCAACGAUGCGUAGCCGACCUGAGAGGGUGAUCGGCCACACUGGAACUGAGACACGGUCCAGACUCCUACGGGAGGCAGCAGUAGGGAAUCUUCCGCAAUGGGCGAAAGCCUGACGGAGCAACGCCGCGUGAGUGAUGAAGGUCUUCGGAUCGUAAAACUCUGUUAUUAGGGAAGAACAAAUGUGUAAGUAACUAUGCACGUCUUGACGGUACCUAAUCAGAAAGCUACGGCUAACUACGUG